rnacentral:misc_RNA from 1 species
GAUGAAGAACGUAGUGAAAUGCGAUAAGUAAUGUGAAUUGCAGAAUUCCGUGAAUCAUCGAAUCUUUGAACGCAUAUUGCGCCCGCUGGUAUUCCGGCGGGCAUGCCUGUUCGAGCGUCAUUUCAACCCUCAAGCCCCCGGGUUUGGUGUUGGGGAUCGGCUCUGCCCUUCUGGGCGGUGCCGCCCCCGAAAUACAUUGGCGGUCUCGCUGCAGCCUCCAUUGCGUAGUAGCUAACACCUCGCAACUGGAACGCGGCGCGGCCAUGCCGUAAAACCCCAACUUCUGAAUGUUGACCUCGGAUCAGGUAGGAAUACCCGCUGAACUUAAGCAUAUCAAUAAGCGGAGGA